rnacentral:rRNA from 1 species
CUUGACCGCUGGCGGCAGGCCUAACACAUGCAAGUCGAACGAGUGGCGGACGGGUGAGUAAUGUCUGGGAAACUGCCUGAUGGAGGGGGAUAACUACUGGAAACGGUAGCUAAUACCGCAUACCAUCGGAUGUGCCCAGAUGGGAUUAGAUAGUAGGUGGGGUAACGGCUCACCUAGGCGACGAUCCCUAGCUGGUCUGAGAGGAUGACCAGCCACACUGGAACUGAGACACGGUCCAGACUCCUACGGGAGGCAGCAGUGGGGAAUAUUGCACAAUGGGCGCAAGCCUGAUGCAGCCAUGCCGCGUGUAUGAAGAAGGCCGUCGGGUUGUAAAGUACUUUCAGCGGGGAGGCGUUACCCGCAGAAGAAGCACCGGCUAACUCCGUGCCAGCAGCCGCGGUAAUUC